AUACGGAGGACGCGAGCGUUAUCCGGAUUUAUUGGGUUUAAAGGGAGCGUAGGCGGGAGCUUAAGUCAGCGGUUAAAUGGUGCGGCUCAACCGUGCCCUGCCGUUGAAACUGGGUUUCUUGAGAGUGCAAGAGGCGGAUGGAAUUCAUGGUGUAGCGGUGAAAUGCUUAGAUAUCAUGAAGAACUCCGAUUGCGAAGGCAGUUCGCUGGGGCACGUCUGACGCUGAUGCUCGAAGGUGCGGGAAUCAAACAGGAUUAGAUACCCUGGUAGUCCGCACGGUAAACGAUGAUUACCCGCUGUCGGCGGUAGACAGUCGGCGGCCAAGCGAAAGCGAUAAGUAAUCCACCUGGGGAGUACGCCGGCAACGGUGAAACUCAAAUGAAUUGACGGGG
rnacentral:rRNA from 1 species